AGAGUUUGAUCCUGGCUCAGAAUGAACGUUGGCGGCGUGGAUUAGGCAUGCAAGUCGAGCGGCAAGGAAUCUUCGGAUUCCCUAGAGCGGCGGAAGGGAUAGUACAAUAUGGAUACGUGCCUCUUAGCUCAGGAUAGCGUCUGGAAACGGGCGAUAAUACUGAAUGACGUAUUAAUACGAAAGGUGAGAUUCCGCUAAGAGAUCGGUCCAUAGCCUAUUAGCUAGUUGGUAGGGUAACGGCCUACCAAGGCGAAGAUGGGUACGGGGCGUGAGAGCGCGACCCCGAUCACUGGGACUGAGACACUGCCCAGACGCCUACGGGCGGCUGCAGUCGAGAAUCUUCGGCAAUGGACGCAAGUCUGACCGAGCGACGCCGCGUGUAUGAUGAAGGCCUUCGGGUUGUAAAGUACUGUCGAUUGGGCGGAAGUUAGAGGGGGCAAUCCCCUUCUUUUGACCUAUCAUUUGAGGAAGGACGGGCUAAGUUCGUGCCAGCAGCCGCGGUAAGACGAACUGUUCUAACGUUAUUCGGAAUCACUGGGCUUAAAGGGCAUGUAGGUGGUAUAUUAAGCGGGGUCUGAAAUCCCACGGCUCAACCGUGGAACUGGGCUUCGAACUGAUAAACUAGAGUGAAGUAGAGGUAAGCGGAACUUGCGGUGGAGCGGUGAAAUGCUUUGAUAUCGCAAGGAACACCGGUGGCGAAAGCGGCUUACUUGGCUUCAACUGACACUCAAGUGCGAAAGCUAGGGUAGCGAACGGGAUUAGAUACCCCGGUAGUCCUAGCCGUAAACGCUGAGCGCUUGUUCGAGGGAGAUUUUUCUUUCUCGAGCGCAGCGAAAGUCUUAAGCGCUCCGCCUGGGGAGUACGGUCGCAAGACUGAAACUCAAAGGAAUUGACGGGGACCCGCACAAGCGGUGGAGCAUGUGGUUUAAUUCGAAGCAACGCGAAGAACCUUACCAGGUCUUGACAUACCAUUGACCGUUCUAGAGAUAGGAUUUUCCCUUCGGGGACAAUGGAUACAGGUGGUGCAUGGUUGUCGUCAGCUCGUGUCGUGAGAUGUUGGGUUAAGUCCCGCAACGAGCGCAAUCCUUAUCUUUAGUUGCCAUCAUUUAGUUGGGUACUCUAACGAGACUGCCUAAGUUAAUGCGGAGGAAGGCGGGGAGGACGUCAAGUCCUCAUGGCCCUUAUGCCUAGGGCUGCACACGUCCUACAAUGGAUUCCACAAAGAGAAGCGAGAUCGUGAGAUGGAGCAAACCUCAAAAAAGGAUCCUCAGUUCGGAUUGUAGUCUGCAACUCGACUACAUGAAGCCGGAAUCGCUAGUAAUCGCAGGUCAGCAUACUGCGGUGAAUAUGUUCUUGAGCCUUGUACACACCGCCC
rnacentral:rRNA from 1 species